AGCGAACGCUGGCGGCAUGCUUAACACGAUGCAAGUCGGCACGGGCGGGGGCAACUCCGUCAGUGGCGGACGGGUGAGUAACGCGUAGGAAUCUAUCCUUGGAAUGGGGGACAACCGUGGGAAACUACGGCUAAUACCGCAUGAUGACUGAGGUCUAAAGGCGCAAGUCGCCAGAGGAGGAGCCUGCGUCCGAUUAGCUAGUUGGUGGGGUAAAGGCCUACCAAGGCUCCGAUCGGUAGCUGGUCUGAGAGGAUGAUCAGCCACAUUGGGACUGAGACACGGCCCAAACUCCUACGGGAGGCAGCAGUGGGGAAUAUUGGACAAUGGGCGCAAGCCUGAUCCAGCAAUGCCGCGUGUGUGAAGAAGGCCUGCGGGUUGUAAAGCACUUUCAGUAGGGAAGAAAAGCCUAAGGUUAAUACCCUUGAGUCUUGACGUUACCUACAGAAGAAGCACCGGCUAACUCCGUG
rnacentral:rRNA from 1 species